CAAAUAUCAUGUAAAGUACAUACCCAGACCCAGAUCCAAGAGAAACUCUUCAAGCCAGCAUUCUGAAAAACAAUGUCAGAUGGCAAUUACAACACAUUUGCCUUUCUUCUAGAAAAGAAGAAACUUCUAGACUUUUUCCAGCAGCACUGCAGCUGUGGUGCAGCUGACCUGGCCACCCAGGACGUUCAGAAGAUACACUCCAGAAAUGAGUUUUUGUCUCCCAGUGGAACCCUGUCUGACCUGUCCACCAUCCAUGAGGUCACCCGGCAUCCGUUCAUAUCAACCAGUAGAGACAUGAGCAGUGAGGGUUUGACACCCGUCCCACUGUGGAGGAGAGGCUUGAACCGUAGCAGUUACACUGAGGGGGAGGUACGCUUCCUCGUGGACAGCACCGAAGCACUCUCCAUUCCCCAGCGCAGGCUAAGUGAAAACUAUACAUGGGGCCGAGUCAAAGACCUGGUGAGGAAAACUAAGUUGAGGAACCAAAGCAGGCUGGGACUGACUCCCACCCCACUGAAGAUGUCCUGCCCACAACUCUACAUGCCUGAUCUGGAACCAGAAGAACCUGCUGGCAGAAACAGGAACUCCAUGAUUGCCUUGGGUCACCAGAGCAAAUUGGAAUUCCCUUGGCUACAAUAAACACCCAGACCAGGUCCUGUUAGUCUCACAUGGAGAAGAGGAGGACGCCAUGUAGGUACAUAGAGAUGAUUCAAGACUGGAAAAUAAACCAUGAAGAAGGAAAAGAAGGGAAUGAAGAAGAAGGAAAAAACUGACGUAUUAAAGGAAAGGACUUCUGCAUCAGAGAUGUUUUUGCUGCAUGUAAGGGUGAAAAGUGUUUACGUGAAACUCAAACUGUAUAUGCGGUGUACAUGUUCGCACAAAAUUAAGAUGAGGCUUAUGUGUAAUAUGAUCUACACUGACAUAAUUUAACUGCAUUAUACAUUCUCUGUUGAUAAUAUUGACAUUUAUAUAGUUUCCAUUAGAAUGCGUCAAAAUCUGUAACAAUCCAACUAAUAUGAAACAUACACAUAUUUCAUAACUUUUUAUUGUAUAUGAUAUUGUAAAUGUUAUAAACAAUUGAGAGUCUGCUUUGUAUAGUGUGUGUGUAAUGUUGCUUAAGAGAACAACAUUACCGAAACCAAUAAAUCAAGAAUAAUGCAGACUUGAUGCCAUGAUUGGCCAGGUGUGUUUUCCCCAAGGAAAGGACUGCAGAACCCCACAAAAGACAGGCAGUUGUUGAGUGGGGAAGCCCCUCCUUUGAGUCAAAAGUGUUCCUACCAUCCAGAAAAGCUAGAAACACUUUUACACGUCAUACAAACAAAGGAAAGUAAAAUGGAGCCUCAAAGGUCUACUUUCUGUCCCUGAUUGAUGCAUGUCAGUAGUGAUAGUCGGUCAGAAGCAGCCACUACAGAACAGAAAGCACCAGGUUGCCAACCCAUGCUAUUCCUUUCAACCAGACUUUGUCAAUAAUCCUCUUUUAUGAGACAAU
rnacentral:lncRNA from 1 species